UACGUAGGGUCCGAGCGUUGUCCGGAAUUAUUGGGCGUAAAGGGCUCGUAGGCGGUCCGUCACGUCGGGAGUGAAAACUCAGGGCUCAACCCUGAGCGUGCUUCCGAUACGGGCGGACUAGAGGUAUGCAGGGGAGAACGGAAUUCCUGGUGUAGCGGUGGAAUGCGCAGAUAUCAGGAGGAACACCGGUGGCGAAGGCGGGUCUCUGGGCAGUAACUGACGCUGAGGAGCGAAAGCGUGGGGAGCGAACAGG
rnacentral:rRNA from 1 species